UCGUGCGAGCUGCGUCGAUGUGUUUGUUUGAUCGUGUGUUAUUAGGUUUGCUGUAAUGAAAUGAGACGUAGUUCGCGAGCACGAAAGUGCCAGAAGAUGGCUUGAGUCUCGCUGUAAGCACGCCGUAUGCGUGGCGCGCCAGCUAAAUGUGGACCAACGAUUUUCAUGCCAUGGAGUGCGUUCCCUUUGUCUCCGCUUGUGUUCGUGGAAAGUUUGGUGGACGGCGCAAAGAAGUAAUGCGUAUUAUUAGCGCGCCUCAGCUCGUCCACUACCCAGUGGCUUGUUUGCUGCAAGUAACAUCGCAGACGCAUCACUGGAAACUUGGAGAGUUCCUUUCGACCUCGUCGUACUGUUGAAACGUGGCGAGGCCGUGACCCACAACAUAAACUACAAGAUCGAGGAGCCCCAAGAAAUGCAGACCCUGUGGAUAUAUGGCUGCAGCAGCAUGGCGUGUGAUCUGGAUGGUCAUGACAGGUGUGUAUGAAAUGCUCCACCGUCGCCGUUACUAGACGCACCAAAUGAGGCCAAAAACUAGCCUUUCCUCGCUCCAUUCCUGGGAAGUGAAAUAGCAGGUGAUCAUGUAAGAAUGGACUUGCAACCAUGUGGGCAGUAGCCAAAGCUCCCUACAGUUCAUGCUGGUGGUGGAAUGAUAAGACAAACCGCAAUAUUUAUUUGUUUACUUAUUCACUUAAUAUUUAUUUAUUCAUAUCUCAUGAAUACUGUGCAGUUUUUUUAGCAAGGAGUCAGGUAAAAUAAAGAAAUAUUGUUGCAUCAAAGUAAACGUUAUUUGAAAAAGCAUAAUUCAUGUAGCACGAAUUCAUGUAAGCUGUAAAUUCAUAUAUACAGUUUGUUGACUUUAAACAUAGCAGAUGGAGUCUGCAGAACUAUGAUAUCUCUUUCUGGCACAGAGACGGGGAUUAGUAAGCUUCGUGGUGUUAUUUUUCUCAAACCUGCCAAAUAGUUCUUCCUGCAACAGGUAGAAUUCUCAAAUGCCGCAAACUUAAUUCAAAUUAGUGCUGUGGUUGUCUCAAAAGUAUUUCUGUAUUUUGGAUGUAUUUGAGUAGGAAAAUUUACAGAAUUAACGAACUUGUGCUAGCUCUUUUCUUUAUUUACAGUUGCAAACUAAGUCCUUUUCCUUCAAGUUUUGCUAUUUUCAGCAAAUUUUAAUAAAAAUUGAUGGUGUUAAUGUAAAAACUAUAAUUUAAACAUUUUUAAAUGUAUCAAACCUCAUCAAAUUUGGUUGCAUAGUUGCCGAGAAAAACGAUUUUACUGUUCAUGUGCAUUACAUAGGAGCUCCUGAGCUAAAUCUCUUUUUUAGUCAUUGCGUGUGUCGGUCUGGUUUGUAUUUCUCACCCUAAUUAGAAUAUUGGCUCUGAUCUCAAAAUUGUUUCCCUUACAACGAAAUACAAGCUUUUAAACUUUUUACGAUAUAUGCUGUACUGCUCUAUGAUAACCCCUGUUUGCCACAUUUUCGCAGGGCCCAGCAGUGCUAAUUUUACACAUAAACAUAGACUAAAAUGCUGUGUGGUUUCGGUAUAUGGUGUACUUAUCUGUGAAAGCCAUUAUUUGCCACAUUUUUGCAGCGACUGCCAGUGUUAUUUUUGCUCAGACUAAAAUGCUGUGUCGUUUCGUCAGGCUGACACAACAUUGCAGUGCACAUUUAUGUCAGUCUAUUUUCAGGCUUUAGUAUCCAAACAUUUAAUGUGCACUGCUGGAACAGGCACUCCUUUUGCAGUUUUAAUUGUAUAGUUUCUUGUCCUAGUCAAGCCUGUUAUUGCGAGGUGUCAACUGUAAUCAAGUCUGCCACUGAUUCUUUUACCUCAUGUUUCGUGUGUUUGCACCACCAGCUUGACCUGAGAAGCAUGUUGGCAGCUACAGUUUGUGCGUUGCAAGUUCUAGUCUGAACUGUGUAUGUCACAUAUAUGAAGCAUGUAUCUAGUCUG